rnacentral:rRNA from 1 species
UAGUAUCAGCGUGUCAGCCGCCGCGGUAAUACGAAGGGGGCUAGCGUUGCUCGGAAUUACUGGGCGUAAAGGGAGCGUAGGCGGAUAGUUCAGUCAGAGGUGAAAGCCCAGGGCUCAACCUUGGAACUGCCUUUGAUACUGGCUAUCUUGAGUUUGGGAGAGGUGUGUGGAACUCCGAGUGUAGAGGUGAAAUUCGUAGAUAUUCGGAAGAACACCAGUGGCGAAGGCGACACACUGGCCCAAUACUGACGCUGAGGCUCGAAAGCGUGGGGAGCAAACAGGAUUAGAUACCCAGGUAGUCCACGCCGUAAACGAUGAGUGCUAGUUGUCGGCAUGCAUGCAUGUCGGUGACGCAGCUAACGCAUUAAGCACUCCGCCUGGGGAGUACGGUCGCAAGAUUAAAAC